rnacentral:rRNA from 1 species
UACGAAGGGGGCUAGCGUUGCUCGGAAUCACUGGGCGUAAAGCGCACGUAGGCGGAUUGCUAAGUCAGGGUGAAAUCCUGGAGCUCAACUCCAGAACUGCCUUUGAUACUGGCGACCUUGAGUCCGGGAGAGGUGAGUGGAACUGCGAGUGUAGAGGUGAAAUUCGUAGAUAUUCGCAAGAACACCAGUGGCGAAGGCGGCUCACUGGCCCGGUACUGACGCUGAGGUGCGAAAGCGUGGGGAGCAAACAGG